rnacentral:rRNA from 1 species
CCUACGGGUGGCAGCAGUGAGGAAUAUUGGUCAAUGGACGAGAGUCUGAACCAGCCAAGUAGCGUGAAGGAUGACUGCCCUAUGGGUUGUAAACUUCUUUUAUCUGGGAAUAAAAUGUUCCACGUGUGGGCUUUUGUAUGUACCAUAUGAAUAAGGAUCGGCUAACUCCGUGCCAGCAGCCGCGGUAAUACGGAGGAUCCGAGCGUUAUCCGGAUUUAUUGGGUUUAAAGGGAGCGUAUGUGGAUUGUUAAGUCAGUGGUGAAAGUUUGCGGCUCAACCGUAAAAUUGCAGUUGAAACUGGCAGUCUUGAGUACAGUAGAGGUGGGCGGAAUUCGUGGUGUAGCGGUGAAAUGCUUAGAUAUCACGAAGAACUCCGAUUGCGAAGGCAGCUCACUGGACUGCAACUGACACUGAGGCUCGAAAGUGUGGGUAUCAAACAGGAUUAGAUACCCCAGUAGUC